CCUACGGGCGGCUGCAGUGAGGAAUAUUGGUCAAUGGGCGGAAGCCUGAACCAGCCAAGUAGCGUGCAGGAUGACGGCCCUACGGGUUGUAAACUGCUUUUAUACGGGAAUAACGCGCCUUACGUGUAGGGCUUUGCAUGUACCGUAUGAAUAAGGACCGGCUAAUUCCGUGCCAGCAGCCGCGGUAAUACGGAAGGUCCGGGCGUUAUCCGGAUUUAUUGGGUUUAAAGGGAGCGUAGGCCGCAUGUCAAGCGUGCUGUGAAAUGUCCGGGCUCAACCCGGGCCUUGCAGCGCGAACUGGCGUGAUGUAGUCCGCGAAAAGCAGGCGGAAUUCGUGGUGUAGCGGUGAAAUGCUUAGAUAUGACGAAGAACCCCGAUUGCGAAGGCAGCUUGCUGCAGCGGAACUGACGCUGAUGCUCGAAAGCGCGGGUAUCGAACAGGAUUAGAUACCCUUGUAGUC
rnacentral:rRNA from 1 species